AGCCUGGGGUUAGAGAGGAAACAGGGGAUGCAGGAAAGCCUGGCUUAAUGAAUCUGUGUGACCAAUCCUUCCCUGUAUUCCCUGUGCAGUGGGGAAUAAAGAGAUACCAUGUUAGGCAAACUUGUAUCUGCACACUCCCUUCCCGCUUUUGACUCUGAGCCUCUUGAGGAGCCACAUAGUCUACCAUUUGCUUUGGCAUCAAAACUUCCUUAGUGAGCUCCAGUGUUGGGAGUAUCCACUUAAAAUGCUGUGAUGCCAAUUAUUUCCAUGUAAGCUGUUGUCUUUCCAGCAAAUUGUAUAUUGCAGUAAAAAGUGAUCUCUCAUG